GUCGAACGGUAACAGGUCUUCGGAUGCUGACGAGUGGCGAACGGGUGAGUAAUACAUCGGAACGUGCCCGAUCGUGGGGGAUAACGGAGCGAAAGCUUUGCUAAUACCGCAUACGAUCUACGGAUGAAAGCAGGGGACCGCAAGGCCUUGCGCGGACGGAGCGGCCGAUGGCAGAUUAGGUAGUUGGUGGGAUAAAAGCUUACCAAGCCGACGAUCUGUAGCUGGUCUGAGAGGACGACCAGCCACACUGGGACUGAGACACGGCCCAGACUCCUACGGGAGGCAGCAGUGGGGAAUUUUGGACAAUGGGCGAAAGCCUGAUCCAGCCAUGCCGCGUGCAGGAUGAAGGCCUUCGGGUUGUAAACUGCUUUUGUACGGAACGAAAAGCCUCUUUCUAAUAAAGAGAGGUCAUGACGGUACCGUAAGAAUAAGCACCGGCUAACUACGUGCCAGCAGCCGCGGUAAUACGUAGGGUGCGAGCGUUAAUCGGAAUUACUGGGCGUAAAGCGUGCGCAGGCGGUGAUGUAAGACAGAUGUGAAAUCCCCGGGCUCAACCUGGGAACUGCAUUUGUGACUGCAUCGCUGGAGUGCGGCAGAGGGGGAUGGAAUUCCGCGUGUAGCAGUGAAAUGCGUAGAUAUGCGGAGGAACACCGAUGGCGAAGGCAAUCCCCUGGGCCUGCACUGACGCUCAUGCACGAAAGCGUGGGGAGCAAACAGGAUUAGAUACCCUUGGUAGUCCACGCCCUAAAAGGAUGUCAACUGGUUGUUGGGGUCUUCACUGACUCAGUAACG
rnacentral:rRNA from 1 species